rnacentral:sRNA from 1 species
CUUUAAGAGAAAAUAGAAAAAGCGAUGCUUUCAAUGUGAUACUCAUAUCGCUUAUCAUAACAUCAACGGUACAUGCUGACAAUUUUCUCAAAACACCUCCAACAUUUUUCACCCCAUGCAAAUUAAAAGAUACUGGAAACGGACAAUGUGUUUCGGACUUAUUUCAAUCCGUUUUUGUAAAUUGGAAAGGUGAUAUACCUGGAUCACCGCCCUUUUCCACCAUUGAUCCUCUAAUGGUGAAGAAAAUACAUGUUGACUUAACGGGAACUGCCGCCAACCUGAAUUUAGAUAUGGAGAAUAUUGUUGCAACUGGACUUUCAAAUGCAAAAAUUGG